GACGAAGGUGGCAAGCGUUAUUCGGAUUUACUGGGCAUAAAGCGCGCGUAGGCGGCUUGGCAAGUCGGGGGUGAAAGCCCGCAGCUCAACUGCGGAACUGCCUUCGAUACUGCCGGGCUUGAGGGCGGGAGGGGUGAUUGGAACUCCAGGUGUAGCGGUGAAAUGCGUAGAUAUCUGGAGGAACACCGGAGGCGAAGGCGAAUCACUGGACCGCUUCUGACGCUGAGGCGCGAAAGCUAGGGGAGCAAACGGG
rnacentral:rRNA from 1 species